rnacentral:rRNA from 1 species
GAUGAACGCUGGCGGCGUGCCUAAUACAUGCAAGUAGAACGCUGAAGGCGGAGCUUGCUCUUCUGGAUGAGUUGCGAACGGGUGAGUAACGCGUAGGUAACCUGCCUGGUAGCGGGGGAUAACUAUUGGAAACGAUAGCUAAUACCGCAUGACAACAGUUAUUGCAUGAUAACUGUUUAAAAGGGGCAACUGCUCCACUACCAGAUGGACCUGCGUUGUAUUAGCUAGUUGGUGAGGUAACGGCUCACCAAGGCGACGAUACAUAGCCGACCUGAGAGGGUGAGCGGCAAAGCUGGGACGGAGACACGGCCCAGACUCCUACGGGAGGCAGCAGGAGGGGAUCUUCGGCAAUGGACGGAAGUCUGACCGAGCAACGCCGCGUGAGUGAAGAAGGUUUUCGGAUCGUAAAGCUCGGUUGUAAGAGAAGAACGAGUGUGAGAGUGGAAAGUUCACACUGUGACGGUAUCUGACCAGAAAGGGACGGCUAACUACGUG